UGCCUCUGUCUACUUCCAUAAAUCCAUCAAAUUUCCUUCAUGCAUUUCUAUUUAGAAUGCGAAUGAAUAUGCUCCUCAUGAGUUCGGAUCCUCUGUAUGGUGCAACUUUUGCACGACAAAGUCCUAUGCUAUAGCAGAUAGCCACUGCAUCAUUUAUCUUGGAAAUGAACGGCUUUCAUUCAUUCCUGAAAUAUGAUGAUAUACC
rnacentral:lncRNA from 1 species